rnacentral:rRNA from 1 species
AACAGGAUUAGAUACCCUGGUAGUCCACGCUGUAAACGAUGUCGACUUGGAGGUUGUGCCCUUGAGGCGUGGCUUCCGGAGCUAACGCGUUAAGUCGACCGCCUGGGGAGUACGGCCGCAAGGUUAAAACUCAAAUGAAUUGACGGGGGCCCGCACAAGCGGUGGAGCAUGUGGUUUAAUUCGAUGCAACGCGAAGAACCUUACCUACUCUUGACAUCCAGAGAAUUUGCUAGAGAUAGCUUAGUGCCUUCGGGAACUCUGAGACAGGUGCUGCAUGGCUGUCGCCAGCUCGUGUUGUGAAAUGUUGGGUUAAGUCCCGCAACGAGCGCAACCCUUAUCCUUUGUUGCCAGCACGUAAUGGUGGGAACUCAAAGGAGACUGCCGGUGAUAAACCGGAGGAAGGUGGGGAUGACGUCAAGUCAUCAUGGCCCUUACGAGUAGGGCUACACACGUGCUACAAUGGCAUAUACAAAGAGAAGCGAACUCGCGAGAGCAAGCGGACCUCAUAAAGUAUGUCGUAGUCCGGAUUGGAGUCUGCAACUCGACUCCAUGAAGUCGGAAUCGCUAGUAAUCGUAGAUCAGAAUGCUACGGUGAAUACGUUCCCGGGCCUUGUACACACCGCCCGUCACACCAUGGGAGUGGGUUGCAAAAGAAGUAGGUAGCUUAACCUUCGGGAGGGCGCUUACCACUUUGUGAUUCAUGACUGGGGUGAAGUCGUAGCAAGGUAACC